rnacentral:tRNA from 1 species
AAGAAGGUAGUUUAAUUAAAACAUAAAUUUGUCAAAUUUAUGAUAUACUGUAGAGUAUCCUCCUUU